rnacentral:rRNA from 1 species
GACAGAGGUCCCAAGCGUUGUUCGGAUUCAUUGGGCGUAAAGGGUGCGUAGGCGGCGCGGUAAGUCGGGUGUGAAAUCUCGGAGCUUAACUCCGAAACUGCAUUCGAUACUGCCGUGCUUGAGGACUGGAGAGGAGACUGGAAUUUACGGUGUAGCGGUGAAAUGCGUAGAUAUCGUAAGGAAGACCAGUGGCGAAGGCGGGUCUCUGGACAGUUCCUGACGCUGAGGCACGAAGGCCAGGGGAGCAAACGGG